GGAGUUAGCCGGUGCUUCUUCUGUGAGUGAUGUCCUUCCUGCCGGCUAUUAACCCGCAGGCCUUCUUCCUCACUGAAAGUGCUUUACAACCCGAAGGCCUUCUUCACACACGCGGCAUGGCUGGAUCAGGGUUGCCCCCAUUGUCCAAUAUUCCCCACUGCUGCCUCCCGUAGGAGUCUGGGCCGUGUCUCAGUCCCAGUGUGGCUGAUCAUCCUCUCAGACCAGCUACGGAUCGUCGCCUUGGUGAGCCGUUACCUCACCAACCAGCUAAUCCGACAUAGGCUCAUCCGAUAGCGCGAGGCCCGAAGGUCCCCCGCUUUCCCCCGUAGGGCGUAUGCGGUAUUAGCCUGGGUUUCCCCCAGGUUAUCCCCCACUACCGGGCAGAUUCCUAUGCAUUACUCACCCGUCCGCCGCUCGCCACCAGGGAGCAAGCUCCCCGUGCUGCCGCUCGACUUGCAUGUGUUAGGCCUGCCGCCACGCGUCAUCUGAGCGAGAUACAACUACUGA
rnacentral:rRNA from 1 species